rnacentral:lncRNA from 1 species
AUGGAUAUGAAGAUUAUGCUUGACUCAGAGAACAUCGAUAAUAAAGCUGGUUUAAAACAGCAGAACUAUGAGACCAGGCUGCCACUUAUAACUAAGAAAAAAUCUGCUCUUCUGUGUAGUCAGAAGACAGUGAAAGGUCAUACAGUUAGCAACCUCUGGGGCUUGCCUGCCUCUUGCUACAUGGAUUCUCCCUUACCCCUGUUAGAAGAAGAGAUAAGGAAAGGUAUUCUGAAUCUAACUGAACUAAGACUUAUCCCUCCAGCAGCAAAGAUAACUCUUCAGACAUCUCCCGUUGUAUCCAAAGUAGCACCCUUCCAUGAAUUUCACAGGCAGCACAAGAAAUCAGCUGUAGGAGAGAUUAGUAGUAGGGUGGACCCUGAGAACACAGACACCAUCACCUUCCCAAACUCAAAGGAAGCAAUUUACGGCACAUAUUCCUCUAGUAAAGGUAACGUUGCGCCACUUCCAUCCAGCAGCUCCAUGGUUUCAGCAAGGAAGUCAAAGCUGGUGUGGACGUAUCCAGCUCAGCUGUUGGAAUCUGAGCUGCAGAUCCCCUCUCAGACACAGGUAUUUAGACAGUGAGGAUAAUAAGGAUUUUAUUAAUGUUUUUAAUACUGUCCUCAGC